AUUGAACGCUGGCGGCAUGCUUUACACAUGCAAGUCGAACGGUAACAGGCCGCAAGGUGCUGACGAGUGGCGAACGGGUGAGUAAUGCAUCGGAACGUGCCCAGUCGUGGGGGAUAACGCAGCGAAAGCUGCGCUAAUACCGCAUACGAUCUAUGGAUGAAAGCGGGGGACCGAAAGGCCUCGCGCGAUUGGAGCGGCCGAUGUCCGAUUAGGUAGUUGGUGGGGUAAAAGCUUACCAAGCCGACGAUCUGUAGCUGGUCUGAGAGGACGACCAGCCCACCUGGGACUGAGGCACGGCCCCGGCUCCUACGGGAGGCAGCAGUGGAGAAUUUUGGACAAUGGGCGCAAGCCUGAUCCAGCCAUGCCGCGUGCAGGAUGAAGGCCUUCGGGUUGUAAACUGCUUUUGUACGGAACGAAAAGACUCUGGUUAAUACCUGGGGUCCAUGACGGUACCGUAAGAAUAAGCACCGGCUAACUACGUGCCAGCAGCCGCCGCGGUAA
rnacentral:rRNA from 1 species